GGAUACAGCUCAGUUGGUAGAGUGCUUGCCUAGCAUGCACAAAGCCCUGGGUUCAAUCCCCAGCACCA
rnacentral:tRNA from 1 species